rnacentral:misc_RNA from 1 species
UCUCCGUUGGUGAACCAGCGGAGGGAUCAUUACAGGACUCGCAAGACUCCUUCACCCUGUGAACCACACUACAAGCACGUUGCUUCGGCGGGUGUCCCGGCGGGGGUUUUCCCUCGCCUGGGCGCACAGCCCGCCGGCAGCCUACUAUACUCUGUCUCUUUGCGUUGGCAUUUCGAGAAAAAACAAACAAGUUAAAACUUUCAACAACGGAUCUCUUGGUUCUG